UACGGAGGGUGCAAACGUUGCUCGGAAUCAUUGGGCGUAAAGCGCACGUAGGCGGUCCGGUAAGUCGGAUGUGAAAGCCCCGGGCUCAACCUGGGAACUGCAUUUGAAACUGGCGGGCUUGAGUGUGGCAGAGGGGGGUGGAAUUCCGCGUGUAGCAGUGAAAUGCGCAGAUAUCAGGAGGAACACCGGUGGCGAAGGCGGGUCUCUGGGCCGAUACUGACGCUGAGGAGCGAAAGCGUGGGGAGCAAACAGG
rnacentral:rRNA from 1 species